CCGUUGCCAAGACUGCCCUAAAGAGGAUCAGCCGCUCCGCCUCGCCGCCGCACUGCCUGGAUCCUAACGCGGGAAGCCGCCAGGAGCCUGUCCCGGACUCCCUAAAUGUCUGUGGCGCCAGAGAGCGGCGGGGAGGGGCCGAGUCUAGGCGAGCCAGGAGGAGCGUGCUGAGUGAUUCAUGGCUGCGGCGGAGGCCAGGCUGCCUUGGCUUCUGUCUUCUUCUGGCUGAUGGGCUAGCAGCAGGGGCACCGCCAAGCCCCACUGAAUGGGCUUCCCUCUCCACCCACACAACAAUUCAAGGAUGCUCCGGGUCAAUUGGUGCGCAACAAGUGUCGUGGCGGCAGCGACGGAAAACUGAGUUUUAACGACGAACUGGGAAAAUUUCAGUAGCUUAUUCUUUUUGACAGCGAAGAGAAAAGGUAUCAAACAGAAUAAUUAAAUGAUAUGGAAACUGCCCAGAGAGAAACAGAAUAACGUUAUGGCAUUAACAGAUCUUGGUUUACAAACAUAAACAAAUACAGGCUGUCCAAUGCAACUCUUCCCCCCUCUAUUUUUUUUUUUACACCAAGAAGCCAAGUAGGGGAGAAAUCAGCACAAAACAGCGUUAUUACAAACAUAUUUUUUCCUCGUGAAAAAAAAGUCCUGCAAACAUUAAAAAAAGAUAAUUUAAACA